UUAGGUGCAGUGGGGACUCUUACGUGGGAAAAUCAGUGCUGUGUAAGCUGUGCCUCUUCAAGCACAAUGUUUGAAGUAGCUAGCGGUUAGCUAAUACAAUAGUUAGGCCUACUGAUAUGAGUGUCCUGCAGCAACGCCAUUCCUCCCUUGGAGUUUAUGUUUAGAAAUGACCGGAUCAGCUUGGCGUUAGCGGAGGCCACCAUCUAUAAACCGGGAAACGCUUGUGGUAAGCUUGCCAGUAGACCCAACCAUACCGUAUCCGGAUCUACCCCAUUCAUAGACGUUAACUGCUUUAGCCCCUAUAGACGAUAGUGUCUUCUGGUCGGGCGCUCGUUUUGAACAUUAAAACGCAUCUUUUGACAAAUGAUUGAAGAAAAAAAAUAGGUUAAAUUACUACACACCAUAUCUCCAUGUUACAGUGAUUUGUUUAUGGAAGACAGACUGAAGACAGGCUACCUGUGUGAAUUAGCUAUAUAGAGUGCUACGAACACCUAUGUGUAAGCAUAACGGCGGAGGAUAUGUAGUUAUUCAACUGGAGGAACACACAGUGUAUUGAUCUGUCCAAAACUGCUACAACAGAUGUCAAGUGGUCCGUGAAUGGGAUUCCCAAAGGCAUCAAGCAGUCCCUGGGCCAGGUGCCCAUCAUGGUGAAGUCUAGGCUGUGUAACCUGCAUGGGCUCUGAGGAAAUGGGUGGUUAUUUUGUGAAUGGGAUCUAGAAGGUUAUUCGCAUGCUGAUCAUGCCAAGGAGGAACCAACAUAUUGCUAUGUCAAGACCCAAGUGGAAGAACAGAGGCUAGGGAUACACUCAGUAUGAUAUCACCAUGCACUGUGUGAAGGAGGAGUGCACAGCUAUCAAUAUGAACCUGCAUUACCUGGACAACGGGACUGUGACGCUCAACUUCAUCUACCAGAAAGAACUCUUCUUCCUGCCCCUAGGCUUUGCACUGAAGGUGAAAUGAAGCAGUGAUAUUUGGAACAGGAACAUACAGGACUAGAGCAGAGCGAUAUAUCGAAUGAAUUUGAUUCAUUCAAAUUUGUUUUUGCACAAUUUUCUAAAUGCCUGUAUCGCAAGAAUUCGUUUUUUUAUGAGCGUUCAUGUCUGCUUGUUCUCAUGUCUUUUUGGUCUCGUCUCUUUCGUUCCUUCUGUGCUGUGCGCAUCUUCCAUUCACAUCAGAGAUCUGAAUAUAAUGACGAGAUGCUCAUGUCGCUGCCCUAACAAUGGGAGCCUUUGACCCAAAUGGCGGGAAGGCAGGCGACAAGCUUAGGUCCAAAAUGAGCCCGUAGAAACGCAUUGGGCUUAUUUUGGACAUAUUUUGCCAAGAGUGAAGCCUCGCGCUUCUCCUCUUCCUCUGUUUACACACACACACACACCAAUCCCCUCCCCCUGCCUCUCACACCAACACAGUUGAGAUCGCUUCUUCCUCUCUGACAAGCGGUUUCAACUCACUAUUUGCAUUUGAGGUUUGGUUCAACAGAAAUCGGUCAUAUGGACACCAAAACACAUUGAGACAUUAUUUUCUCCAAUAGAGAAGUUAACCUCUCUAACAAUAUCCUUUUUAUGUCUCAGCUACUCAAAUUGCACGCAGAGCAGACACUACUAAAACAGGAGUAUUAAAGAACGUUGAUUCUGGAAAAGUUAUGCUAGCAGCAUUUUAGCCAAAGACUGUUCUACUUGCUGUCUAGUCUGUAUUUUAUAAAUGUGCAAUAAGCAUAAAACACAAUUUAUAGAAGUAAUUGGCAACUCAUUCUGAGAAAUGAGUUAGGCUACUUGAUUUCAACAUCUGAACAAAGUGGAAAGGUUAGCGUGCUGUUCAGACAGAAAGGUGUGUUCAUAACAAUUCAAAUGUUCUCCCUUUGUUAGCUAAUAAAUACAUACAAGUUGUCUAAACUUGAAAUAUAAA